rnacentral:rRNA from 1 species
AUUGAACGCUGGCGGCAGGCCUAACACAUGCAAGUCGAACGAGUGGCGGACGGGUGAGUAAUGUCUGGGAAACUGCCUGAUGGAGGGGGAUAAAUACUGGAAACGGAAGCUAAUACCGCCUACCAUCAGAUGUGCCCAGAUGGGAUUAGCUAGUUGGUGGGGUAACGGCUCACAAAGGCGACGACCCCUAGCUGGUCGGAGAGGAUGACCACCCACACGGGAAUUGAGACACGGCCCAGAUCCCUACGGGAGGCGGCAUGGGGGAAUAUUGCACAAUGGGCGCAGUCCUGAGACAGCCAUGCCGCGUGGAUGAAAAAGGCUUUGGGUUUGUAAACUACUUUCAGCGGGGAGGCGUUACCCGCAUAAAAAGCACCGGCUAACUCCGUGCCAGCAGCCGCGGUAAUUC